rnacentral:rRNA from 1 species
AUAGAAUGUUUUACAAGCCUACCACCCUGGGUGCAUUUGCUCUCGUCUCAACUCAGAACAUAAUUAGGCUCUGGCCUGGUUAGGAUUUGAAUGGGAGAUCAGUGACAAGAAUACAGGUAACACAAUU